CUUUGCUUCAUUGCCUGAAAUAAUAAUGAAGAAUUGGGCUUGUGAAUUAGAGGGAUUAGAAAUCAAUAAUUCCCUGAAUAGGAGAUGCAAAAUACUCGAUCACUGUGCUUCUUUCAUGGAUAAAGUCAUAGAUUAAACCUAUGUUACUCGAACUCAGACGAAGAGUAUCAGAUAUAGGUGCAUAUCUAACAUGAGUAUGUUCAAAUUCCUUUAGAACUUUUUGUAUCAUCUUCUGAGUAUGUGUUGGAUCAUGAACAUAGGUCUCGCACAUGGGUAUUUCAACAAAUAUGAAGAGUUAAGAGCAACAUAGGACUAAACUCCAUCUUGGUUAGCAUCAUGUUUAUCACCUUGAUACAAAAGAGGAAAACAAUAAAAAGAAAGGAGACUGCUCAAUGAAUACCUCCAAAUCUUUUCGGCGUGCUUCCUCCUUUUUGGCUUCCGACCUAGAACUUCUUUGAACUUCAAAGAUCAAGACAGCUCCAGCAACCUAUAUGCACACUCCAACAUGUACAAAGUCAGAAACAUUCAUGUAUUCAACAGAGUGCAGAGUAUGGUGAUAGAUUAUUGCAUUCCAAAUGAUUAUUCCUAAAAGGAAGAUAAGACAUCUACCAAGUGAGCAUAUGUCUAAUACAAGGCGGUGAUAAGAAGCUUUAAGUGACAGCAUCAUCAAAUUAGUAAUCCAUACCAUGCAAAAAGAAUAGUUUUCAAGACUACUAGAAGCAGUAACAGGAAGAACGGCAGGGACAACAAUACCGUGAAGACAAAAAGCUCCCCAAUAAGAUCUACAGCAGCCUGAACAGCUUUCUCCUCAUCCAAGGGGCGUAUCGCAGCAUCAGUGGCAUGACUGUAAAUGCGCCUUUGCAUUCUAGUUGUGAUUCGAUGGUUUGCCUGGUUUAAUACAUUGGCACUAGGUUUACAUUUAUGGAAUAUAUUAAUUUACAGCAGAAAAUACAGUUGUUGUACCAUACAGCAAUCUUGAGCAACAAGUUGUGGAAAA